rnacentral:rRNA from 1 species
GACGAACGCUGGCGGCGUGCUUAACACAUGCAAGUCGAACGCUGAAGCCCUUCGGGGUGGAUGAGUGGCGAACGGGUGAGUAACACGUGGGUAAUCUGCCCUGCACUCUGGGAUAAGCCUUGGAAACGGGGUCUAAUACCGGAUAGGACACAUCGCCGCAUGGUGUGUGUGUGGAAAGUUCCGGCGGUGCAGGUUGAGCCCGCGGCCUAUCAGCGUGUUGGUGGGGUGAUGGCCUACCAAGGCGACGACGGGUAGCCGGCCUGAGAGGGUGACCGGCGACACUGGGACUGAGACACGGUCCAGACUCCGACGGGAGGCAGGAGUGGGGAAGCUUGCGCAAUGGGCGAAAGCCUGACGCAGCAACGCCGCGUGGGGGAUGACGGCCUUCGGGUUGUAAACCUCUUUCGACCGGGACGAAGGAUUCGUUUGACGGUACCGGUAGAAGAAGCACCGGCUAACUACGUGCCAGCCGCCGCGGUAAGAC